GACGAACGCUGGCGGCGUGCUUAACACAUGCAAGUCGAACGAGAGGAGAAGGAAGCUUGCUUCUUUCAAAUCUAGUGGCAAACGGGUGAGUAACACGUAAACAACCUGCCUUCAGGAUGGGGACAACAGACGGAAACGACUGCUAAUACCGAAUGACGUUUCCUGGUCGCAUGACCUGGAAACCAAAGGCCGGGCAACCGGUCACUGAAGGAUGGGCCUGCGUCUGAUUAGCUAGUUGGUGGGGUAACGGCCCACCAAGGCGACGAUGCGUAGGGGUUCUGAGAGGGUGAACGGCCACAUUGGGACUGAGACACGGCCCAAACUCCUACGGGAGGCAGCAGUGGGGAAUAUUGCACAAUGGGGGAAACCCUGAUGCAGCGACGCCGCGUGAGUGAAGAAGUAUUUCGGUAUGUAAAGCUCUAUCAGCAGGGAAGAAAACAAUGACGGUACCUGACUAAGAAGCCCCGGCUAACUACGUG
rnacentral:rRNA from 1 species